rnacentral:rRNA from 1 species
UACAGAGGGUGCGAGCGUUGUCCGAAUCACUGGGCGUAAAGGGCGCGUAGGUGGCCCGACAAGUCCGUGGUGAAAGCUCGACGCUCAACGUCGAGUCGGCCAUGGAUACUGUUGGGCUGGAGCACUGUAGAGGCUCAUGGAAUUCCGGGUGUAGCGGUGGAAUGCGUAGAGAUCCGGAAGAACACCGGUGGCGAAGGCGGUGAGCUGGGCAGUUGCUGACACUGAGGCGCGACAGCGUGGGGAGCAAACAGG